CUUUGGAACAUUUUAUUAAACUCCCCAUGUUUAUGUUUCUCCAUGAAAUCUGGCUAGUAGUCUUAAUACUUAGACGACUGGACUAACUAGCACUAGCGAGUUGAUUUUAGAUGAAGUGCAGUAGCCGGUUGCAUUAGUUACCUUUCAAUUGAGUAGGGUUGCAGUGGAGAAGAGCUGGUCAGGUUUCACGUCGGAAAAGCACAUCUGUACAGCUUUAAGUAAAGUAGAUCGUAUCGUUGUCGGAUGUUAGUACGGGAUUGAUAACCCAAUAACAGUAUCGGUAUCUAUGCAUCCCUAAAUAUACUGUAACAACACAUCUGCAAGGACCUACUGAAUCAGUACAAAUUCAUACAGCGUAUAUUGUAUACUGUAUCUCCUGCCAAACAUUUCCCAAUGUCACAAAUCUAUUUGGCCACCUGAGUCACGUAUAUCUCAAUCUAUGGAAAUUACUGCGUUAAAAUAUCAGCCAAAACAGAACAAAAAAAGACUCCCCUGCCAAUUAACGUCGUAUAAUCCGGAUGAAUGAAUUCGAAGAAAUCUGUCACUAGAUGUCGUGUCAAACGUUGGGAAUCUGUGCACUCAUUUCCUCCUCGGCUUAUGGGCUAUCAGCAGCAUAUGCUAAAGGUUCCUGUGUGGGCUUGCCUGAGCCGCAGGGCAAAUAAAAAGGAAGGUUUAUUGGAUUACGAGAGGGAGCGAGAGAUGAGAUUGCCUUCCCUUUUACCUCGGCUGUACAGUCUCCCAUUCGAUCAAAUCUCAGUCAGGUGAUUUUUUUAAUAGCAAAAUACAGUGUGCGCAUCACAUUGUAUUAAUUUUGAGUAUUUAAUCAAAUUACGACAAUUAGACCUAUACUGGAUUAGUUUAUUCAGAUGUGAGGCCGAAGCUGAAAAUUUGGGAUUAAUUAAUAAGUUCAUAGAGCGUGACUAACAUAAUAAUGAUAAUACAUUUAUUAGACAUAACAUAAUAAACUAGCGUUUUAAAACGAGAUCUCAUUGUGACAGUCUUUACCUUUAUCCUAUCUAUCGUUUUACUCUAAAUCAUUAAAUUUAGCAAAUUGUCUAUGAAAUCGAUCAAAUCUCAUGACAUUCAAUUAAAUGCCAUGAACAGGAGUCCAGGUAUAAAAUAUGGACAAGGUCUAUUUUUUCCACAUUUUCCUACACAUUUACAUUAUACGUUUCUAUAAGUUUCUAUACAUUUCCAAACUUUUCCAGAUUCAGAUAUGUACAUUCACAGAAAGAAACAUUCAGUAAACCUGUCUUCUCCCAAGUUAUUCAGGGCUAAUUUGUUUCUCAGGUACAUAGCUAAGACGUUACCAGUGGGGUAGUGUUCUACGUGUAUACCCUUCAUGACACCUGACAAACAAAAAUAAACAUAAAAGCUUAUUCAAAUAUGUGACGCUGACUUGCGAGCUGAGUAAAGUGGCAGAUUUUUCUCGACAAAAAGGACUAACUUCUGGUAUGUGAGUCAUAUAAUGGUAAGUCAAGUCUAGAUGGUGAAAUGAACACUUCCAAAGGAAGAUCCUGUGCUUAAUGAAACCUCAGUGCCUGUUGCCACCAAGUCUACCUAGCCAGUUCAGGUAUUUCAUACGUUUUCUUCCCCUAGUCAGUUCAGGUACUUCAUAUGUUUUCUACCCCUAGCCAGUUCAGGUAUAUCAUACGUUUUCUACCCCUAGCCAGUUCAGGUAUUUCAUACGUUUUCUACCCCUUGCCAGUUCAGGUAUAUCAUACGUUUUCUACCCCUAGCCAGUUCAGGUAUUUCAUACGUUUUCUACCCCUAGCCAGUUCAGGUAUUUCAUGUGUUCCAGCUCAAGCACACCUGGUGCAACUAAUGAACCCUUGAAUAAUUGUAUCAGUUGUGCUUGAGACAACACCUGUUUUGCAUAUUUGUGCUGUUGUGAGGGAUUCUAUUCAGGGGGUUGAAUAAUUCUGAGACUGGAGAAUUCAUUAUACGUUGCAUUUUCAGUUGAAUUUGUGGAAACCACUUGAAGCGUUGGUUGUGUUGAACUAUUUCAAUCGCUUUUGUUUGAUUUGUUCAUCGCAAGCCGCUGAAAGUUUGUACAAUUUGACAAUAAACCUGAUUUGCAAUGGGGGUCGAAUCAUUUCGAUUGCAACUGUAGGUGUACAUGUAGCCCUGCGAACAUUUCCCCGAAAUAACGCAUUAUUGAAAUAUCAUUUUAUAUUUUUAUUUUACAAUUAUACUCAAGCAAUUUACAAGUGGUGGCAUGGUGGCACAGCAGGCAGUAUUGAUGGCUCAUAUCUCUGGUGUCCUGUGUGGGGAUCCGCAUGAUUUCCCAGUGUCCAUAUGGGUUUUCUUUGGGUUUUCUGGUUUCCUCCUGCCUCCCUAAACUAAAAAAUGUCCGUAGUUGUGAACAUGUGUGGAUGGAGGUGUGAAUUAAGUGUUCAUGGUGCCAUGUGAUAGAUUAUUGUCCCAGACAUACUAGGUCUCCAGUGAAGGUCACCAGUGUUCUUGGGAAAGGCUUCAGAUCCACUGUUACCCUGACCAGGAUAAAUCACUUGCAAGAAGUUGCAAACUAUAAAUCUCCUUCUUUCAGGAUUACACUCUUGAGGUGCGAGUGGAAAUAAACUAUAAUAAACCCGUGGCAUCGAUUCAUCUCUCCAUGUCUAAACUCCACUGACAUCAUCACAUUUUCUAGCAUUUCUCAUGGGGCAACAUCUCAAGUAUCUCUUCAAAUCUGCUAACAUUCUUUGGUCCGUUUUACUUUUCCGUUUUACUGCCGUCCAUUUGCUUGCACACCUAAAUCUGGGAUAAAAAGGCAGGACCACAGUUCGGCUGCGUUUAAUAAUGGAAACAUGCUCCAAACUUGGCUAAAAUAAGCUUUCCUAAAGACCUUGGAGCUUGUGGAUCACAAGUCUGCCCUCCAGCCACGAGAUCAUAGGCCCUCAGUGCAGCAGGAAACAUAAACCUGGGCUUCUUAUACUGCCUACUAUAACCACAGGCUCUAUUUAAACGAUGCCAGCAAAAGUAAAAUCAGAUGUAAGUCAGGUGUUGGAGCCUUGGCUGCCUGUCAUCCAGCUGUGCUACAGCAUCAGAAGCUGAACUCCAUGACACUGUUGUCCAUCUAUACAUUAUGUUUUCAACCAGAAUUCAGACCACACACAAAAUAUACCGUAUAGGAGAGAUAUUUUUGGACUUCAUACACAUAAUGUCAGAGAAAAACCUACAACCACUAACCACAGCAUUUACUCUAACUUUAAUUAUUUAGAAACGGGUAUACAAAUCGAACUCCAUACGUCGGAACUUACAAUCACCAUGGAGACCAUCUCAGGAGUUGUUCUAUAUAAUUUGCUUGAUCUUUUUACACUAUGUGAGCGUUGUCAGUGGAGGAUGACGUGGCUAUAUUUUUUCCAGCUUUAAAGACGGAUACUGCCAGACACUGAUAAUGAUGACCAUGUGCUUGGUUACAGAGCAAGUAGGAGGUUGAUGGACGCCUGGGGGUUGUUUACCUCCUUUAAUUUCUUUGCAAUCCGUGUGGAAUUUGGUUAUUGGUACAGCAUAAUCGGGCAAUAAAUACGCACCGCUUUUGUUUUAAAUGAUUGUCUGUAAUUAAUAUACUUAUCUCACCUCAAAAUGCUAGCGUGGCAUCGCUCUGGACUCAUGGAAAAUGCUCAAAGGUCUGGAAAUAAU
ensembl:lncRNA